rnacentral:rRNA from 1 species
UAUCAAUAAGCGGAGGAAAAGAAACCAACCGGGAUUGCCUCAGUAACUGCGAGUGAAGUGGCAAAAGCUCAAAUUUGAAAUCCGGUACCUUUUGGUGCCUGAGUUGUAAUUUGGAGAGACAAAUUUGGUUGAUGGCGCCGGCCUAGGUUCCUUUGAACAGGACAACAUAGAGGGUGAGAAUCCCGUUCCUGGCUGGAUGACCCGUCACAUUUCUAAAUUGUCUUCGACGAGUCGAGUUGUUUGGGAAUGCAGCUCAAAAUGGGUGGUAAAUGUCAUCUAAAGCUAAAUAUUGGCGAGAGACCGAUAGCGCACAAGUAGAGUGAUCGAAAGAUGAAAAGCACUUUGAAAAGAGAGUCAAAAAGUACGUGAAAUUGCUGAAAGGGAAGCGCUUGAGACCAGACUCGAACCGUGGUAAUCAGCCGUGCUUCUGUGCGGUGUCACUUGCCACGGUUUGGGCCAGCAUCGGUUCUGGCGGUCGGAUAAAAGGUGGAGGAAUGUAGCUUCCUUCGGGGAGUGUUAAUUUAGCCUCCACCACAAUGCGGCCAGCUGGGACCGAGGACCGCGCUUUGGCUAGGAUGCUGGCGUAAUGGUCUUAAGCGACCCGUCUUGAAACACGGACCAAGGAGUCUAACAUCUAUGCGAGUGUUCGGGUGGAAAAACCCUUGCGCGAAAUGAAAGUGAACGGAGGUGGGAACCCGCAAGGGUGCACCAUCGACCGAUCCCGAAGUCUUCGGAAGGAUUUGAGUAGGAGCACAGAUGUUGGGACCCGAAAGAUGGUGAACUAUGCCUGAAUAGGGUGAAGCCAGAGGAAACUCUGGUGGAGGCUCGCAGCGGUUCUGACGUGCAAAUCGAUCGUCAAAUUUGGGUAUAGGGGCGAAAGACUAAUCGAACCAUCUAGUAGCUGGUUCCUGCCGAA